rnacentral:rRNA from 1 species
GACCUCAAAUCGGGUGGGACUACCCGCUGAACUUAAGCAUAUCAAUAAGCGGAGGAAAAGAAACUAACAAGGAUUCCCCUAGUAACGGCGAGUGAAGAGGGAAAAGCCCAAAUUUUGAAUCUGGUGUCUUUGACUCCCGAGUUGUAAUCUAGAGAAGUGUUUUCCGUGUCGGACCCAUGCACAAGUUCCCUGGAACGGGGCGUCAUAGAGGGUGAGAAUCCCGUAUAUGGCAUGGGACUGCCGAUGCAUUUGUGAUACACUCUCAACGAGUCGAGUUGUUUGGGAAUGCAGCUCAAAAUGGGUGGUAAAUUCCAUCUAAAGCUAAAUAUUGGCGAGAGACCGAUAGCGAACAAGUACCGUGAGGGAAAGAUGAAAAGCACUUUGGAAAGAGAGUGAAACAGUACGUGAAAUUGUUGAAAGGGAAGCGUUUGAAGUCAG